CCCCCGCGGGGUGGUCAGCAUCGGCCUGGUCUACUCGCACUGGCCCGCGAGCAGGCAGGAGGUCCUGCUGCGGCGGUUCGAGACCGUCAUGGGGCGC
rnacentral:tRNA from 1 species